UACGAAGGGGGCUAGCGUUGUUCGGAAUCACUGGGCGUAAAGCGCACGUAGGCGGAUUUGUAAGUCAGGGGUGAAAUCCCGGGGCUCAACCCCGGAACUGCCUUUGAUACUGCGAAUCUCGAGUCCGAUAGAGGUGGGUGGAAUUCCUAGUGUAGAGGUGAAAUUCGUAGAUAUUAGGAAGAACACCGGUGGCGAAGGCGGCUCACUGGAUCGGUACUGACGAUGAGGUGCGAAAGCGUGGGGAGCAAACAGG
rnacentral:rRNA from 1 species